CCGUGAUUAUUGUACCUCCUGUUGCUUCGGCGCGGCCCCCCGGGGCCCGCCGGAGACAUCUUCUCGAACGCUGUCUUUGAAAAGGAUUGCUGUCUGAGUAAACAUACCAAAUCGGUUAAAACUUUCAACAACGGAUCUCUUGGUUCCGGCAUCGAUGAAGAACGCAGCGAAAUGCGAUAAGUAAUGUGAAUUGCAGAAUUCAGUGAAUCAUCGAAUCUUUGAACGCACAUUGCGCCCCCUGGUAUUCCGGGGGGCAUGCCUGUCCGAGCGUCAUUACUGCCCCUCAAGCGCGGCUUGUGUGUUGGGCCGCCGUCCCCUGCGCCUCCGGGCAAGGGGGACGGGCCCGAAAGGCAGUGGCGGCGCCGCGUCCGGUCCUCGAGCGUAUGGGGCUUUGUCACCCGCUCAGUAGGUCGGGCCGGGGCCUUUGCCCUCUCCAACCUUUUUUUCCUUAGGUUGACCUCGGAUCAGGUAGGGAUACCCGCUGAACUUAAGCAUAUCAAUAA
rnacentral:misc_RNA from 1 species